rnacentral:tRNA from 1 species
GGGGACGUAGCUCAGAUGGGAGAGCGCCUGCCUUGCAAGCAGGCGGUCGCCGGUUCAAGUCCGGCCGUCUCCA